rnacentral:lncRNA from 1 species
GGACCUUGAUUGAGUCCUGUACCGUGCCUCAGUUUCCCCACUUAUAAAAAGAGGUUACUAAAAAGGAUGCUUCACUCAAGGGUGUGAAGACCCAGUGAAUGAAGUGUUAAUAAGAGCUCCACGUAUAGCGAUGCUGCUGUUCAGCUGCACCAGGGUGGACUCCCUUGACUUGCUGGGAGUUACAAUGAGGAAGGAAGGACCGUUAAACCUGUAGGUCUUUCCAGAGAAAGUGCGUUUCCUAAAACCAAAUCCUGCCCUUGCUCCAAAACUGUCAGUGGUGGUUUCCCAUGACCACGCCACAGUCCCAGGGUCUCCCCUGGCCUUCAAGGCUGGCACAGUCUGACCCUGCCAACGUCCCUAGUGCCACCAUCUGUCAGCCCCUCCUUGCUCCUGCUCCUGGUCUGCACAUGCUGUUCUCUUUGCCAAGAAUGCCAUUUCCCCAGCCCCCUGGUCCCGAUGGGGAACACCUCCUCAUCCUUCAAAGCCAAGCUGGAAGGGAACAUCUUUGGAGAUGCCGCUUGACCUCCCAGGCAGAAGGGGUCAUUCUCCCUGGAGAUGUGGUCACGUCAUUAACCACACUGGGUUAGAAUCAUCAGAAGCUGUUCCUGCCUCUUCCGUCAAGCAAGGGGCUCUGGAGGCCAGAAAAUGCCUAUGAAUCAUGCCCACACCCCCAGAGCCCAGCAUGGGGCGGGCUCAGGUUAGGUCAAUCGUGUUUGAAGACUGAAUAAAUGAAUGUCUUCAUUUGCUACCCUCAGAA